rnacentral:misc_RNA from 1 species
UGAAGUAGAUGGGAUGGACAGAAGAUCAAAAGUUGGCGUUGAUGCUUUUCGAAGUUUCGCAUCAAAGUUUUCAUUCAGCAAUUCAAUUCAACGAACCAACCACGGCAAUUCUUUGGUACCAAACGCUUUAGGCAAACCUAGUCCAUCUGGGUCCUCAAGGAUUUUGAGAAAUUCGUGCUUUCAGUAUGGAAUCAAGCAAAAUCAGUACAGCGGCGCCUUUUUCGGUGGGGCUAGAAGAUAUUACUACGUUGAUCGACACCAAAUUCAGCAUUUUCGUCCAAGGGGUCCUCAUAGAUGGUUUCAGAAUCCAAGAAUUGUUCUUAUUGUUGUUUUGGUGGGUUCAGGAUUAGUGAUAACUGUUUAUAUGGGUAAUUUGGAGACUAUACCCUAUACUAAAAGAACCCAUUUUGUGCUUUUGUCUAAAGAUAUCGAGAAAAGGCUGGGUGAGUCUCAGUUUCAAGAGAUGAAAAAGUCAUUCAAAGGGAAAAUAUUGCCUGCUAUACACCCCGAAAGUGUUAGGGUGAGAUUGAUAGCUACAGAAAUAAUUGAAGCUUUACAAAGAGGAUUGCGAAAAGAGCAGGUAUGGACUGAUCUUCACUACGCAUCCGAUGCCGUGGAACCUCAUGAGACUAGUGGGCAUGAGACUUUGAUGGCAUUAAGUAAUAGUAACCCCGAGGCGAAUUGGAGUAAAGACGAUGAGAUUCUAGAUGACAGUUGGGUUCAGAAAAGUAGAAAGAAGGGACAGGAGAAGGGGUCAGAGUCUGCUACCGGGCAUAUCGAG